CCUCCCUCCUAUCCCUCCCCUUCUCUCCUCUCCUCACCUCUCCUACCUCUCAUCCAUCUCUCCUACCUCUCCUACCUCUCAUCCUUCCCACUCUCUCCUCACCUCUCCUCUCGCCUAUCCCUCCCCUUCUCUCCUCUCCUCACCUCUCCUCUCUCUCAUUCCUCCCCCUCUCUCCCAUCCCUCCCCCUCUCCUCCUCGAUGGAUGGUUGAGAGUUUGUGUGGGUGGGAAAAUGGGAGGAGCUGAGCAUUGAGAGCAGAGGGUGUGUGUCAGAUUGGAUUUACCUUCAGAGAGAGGAGCAGCGGCAGCUCUCAGCUCUAACCACCACCUGUCACAGAGAGAGACAGAGAGAGACAGAGAGAGAGAGAGAGAGAGAGAGAGAGAGAGAGAGAGAGAGAGAGAGAGAGAGAGAGAGAGAGAGAGAGAGAGAGAGAGAGAGAGAGAGAGAGAGAGAGAGAGAGAGAGAGAGAGAGAGAGAGAGAGAGAGAGAGAGCUGCUCAGGGUGUGUGUGUAUCAGUGUGUAUCACCGUGGGCUUGAGGCUGAAUACGAGACGUGGAUCUUAAAUGUGGUGCGGCUGGAUUGGUUAACUUUUAUAGGCUGACUGGACAGUUGUACUGCAGAAGAAUGUGCUACAGGAUCAACAUGAGAGGGACAAUGUUUGGACUAAAGAGGGAUUCUUUGCUGCGAUCAUCUUCCUCACCAUCUUCAUCAUCAUCACCACCUGUUUGAUGGUCCUCUACCGUCUAAAGGAGAAGGUUGAGUAUUCUGACAGGCAGAUCAAAGAGCAGCCCGUGUUCCCCAGCCGCAACCUUCACCUGACCCCUG
rnacentral:lncRNA from 1 species